AGCAGAUCCACUGUUCCCGGAGGACAGCCACUACAUGCUCCUGGGUCACAGGCCUCCCUCCCUAGGAAUUGUGCCAGAUGAAUCACCGAGUUUCUCCACUUCUCUCUCUCUCUGAAGCCAGUGAGAGUGUGGCUGGAGGGGACUGUGCCCCAGGAAAACUCCAGCCAGCCCCUUGACUUCCCAGAACAAAGAAAUUCCAGUGCCGGUGGGGAGAGCUAUGUGGAAAGGAGACUACAGCUCAUUUUCCAAGAAGUCAGUACUACUGAGACAAACUCCAAGCAAGCACUUCUGGGAAGUCUUCUGAGGACCUGGCCAUCCCUCUGCCAUGAGGAUAAAUACCAUUCUGACCCCAGGGCCAUGGAU